CCUACGGGAGGCAGCAGUAGGGAAUCUUCCGCAAUGGACGAAAGUCUGACGGAGCAACGCCGCGUGAGCGAUGAAGGCCUUCGGGUCGUAAAGCUCUGUUGUCAGGGAAGAACAAGUAUCGGAGUAACUGCCGGUACCUUGACGGUACCUGACCAGAAAGCCACGGCUAACUACGUGCCAGCAGCCGCGGUAAU
rnacentral:rRNA from 3 species